rnacentral:rRNA from 1 species
CGGGAGGCAGCAGUAGGGAAUCUUCCGCAAUGGACGAAAGUCCGACGGAGCAACGCCGCGUGAGUGAUGAAGGUUUUCGGAUCGUAAAGCUCUGUUGUUAGGGAAGAACAAGUACGAGAGUAACUACUCGUACCUUGACGGUACCUAACCAGAAAGCCACGGCUAACUACGUGCCAGCAGCCGCGGUAAUACGUAGGUGGCAAGCGUUGUCCGGAAUUAUUGGGCGUAAAGGGCUCGCAGGCGGUUUCUUAAGUCUGAUGUGAAAGCCCCCGGCUCAACCGGGGAAGGUCAUUGGAAACUGGGGAACUUGAGUGCAGAAGAGGAGAGUGGAAUUCCACGUGUAGCGGUGAAAUGCGUAGAGAUGUGGAGGAACACCAGUGGCGAAGGCGACUCUCUGGUCUGUAACUGACGCUGAGGAGCGAAAGCGUGGGGAGCGAACAGGAUUAGAUACCCUGGUAGUCCACGCCGUAAACGAUGAGUGCUAAGUGUUAGGGGGUUUCCGCCCCUUAGUGCUGCAGCUAACGCAUUAAGCACUCCGCCUGGGGAGUACGGUCGCAAGACUGAAACUCAAAGGAAUUG